rnacentral:rRNA from 1 species
GAUGAACGCUAGCGGGAGGCCUAACACAUGCAAGCCGAGCGGUAUUGUUUCUUCGGAAAUGAGAGAGCGGCGUACGGGUGCGGAACACGUGUGCAACCUGCCUUUAUCUGGGGGAUAGCCUUUCGAAAGGAAGAUUAAUACUCCAUAAUAUAUUGAACGGCAUCGUUUAAUAUUGAAAGCUCCGGCGGAUAGAGAUGGGCACGCGCAAGAUUAGCUAGUUGGUGAGGUAACGGCUCACCAAGGCAAUGAUCUUUAGGGGGCCUGAGAGGGUGAUCCCCCACACUGGUACUGAGACACGGACCAGACUCCUACGGGAGGCAGCAGUGAGGAAUAUUGGUCAAUGGGUGCAAGCCUGAACCAGCCAUCCCGCGUGAAGGACGACUGCCCUAUGGGUUGUAAACUUCUUUUGUAUAGGGAUAAACCUACCCUCGUGAGGGUAGCUGAAGGUACUAUACGAAUAAGCACCGGCUAACUCCGUGCCAGCCGCCGCUGUAAAAC